UUUUCGAGAUAUAAAAAUAAAAAAGCUCUCCGGUUGGGCUUGACGGUUUUAUGGGCUAGGCCAAAAAAUCAUGUUACCCAAACGGCUAGGGAACCAAACAGCACGGAAAGGGGAGGGAGAUGGGGAAGAAGGGGAAGGAGGCGGCGCGGGAGCGCCGCGAGCAGCGCCGCCGCGAGGUCACCCUCCUCCGUGCCGUCCCCUACGAGCCUCACCAGAGAUGGUGGGAGCACCUUGGGACGCCAACUUUGGAGCGGGCGGUGGCGGUUGUGACGGGGGCGAACCGCGGGAUCGGGCUCGAGGCCGCCCGCCAGCUCGCGCGCCACGGCCUCCACGUCGUGCUCGCCUCCCGCGACGUCUUGCGGGGACAGGCCGCCGCAGAGCAGAUCCGGGCGGAGGCGCCUGACGAGGCGGUCGUGAGCGUGGAGUGGCGGCAGCUCGACGUGGCGGACGCCGCGUCGGUGGAGGCCUUCGCGGCCUGGGCGGCGCAAACCCACGGCGGCAUCCAUGUCCUUGUUAACAAUGCAGGUGUAAACUUCAAUAAGGGAGCAGAUAACACUGUCGAGUUCGCUGAGCAUGUUAUCGAAACAAAUUAUUAUGGCACAAAGCGGAUGAUUGAUGCCAUGAUACCACUAAUGAAACCGUCUCCUUAUGCUGGGCGGAUAGUGAAUGUCAGCUCAAGGCUUGGUAGAGUCAAUGGCAGACGGAACAGAAUUGGUGAUGUGAGCCUAAGAGAUCAAUUGCUAAAUGAUGCUUGUUUGUCAGAGCAGUUGAUUGAUGAGAUGAUCGUGAAAUUUCUCGAACAAGUCAAGCAAGGUACCUGGUCCUCCAAUCAGUGGCCUCAGAUGUACACGGACUAUUCGGUCUCGAAGCUUGCUGUUAAUGCUUAUACACGGCUCAUGGCAAGGAGGCUCUUGGAUCGGCCUGAAGGCCAAAAAAUCUACAUUAACUGUUUCUGCCCUGGCUGGGUAAAGACUGCCAUGACUGGUUGGGAAGGGAAUAUUUCUGCCGAAGAAGGUGCUGAUACAGGAGUAUGGCUCGCACUAUUACCCCAUGAACAAGCAACAAAUGGAAAGUUCUUCGCUGAGAGACGUGAGAUAAGCUUCUAAGAGCAGCUCCAGCAGAGGAGGCAAAGGCACCCGCAUCACUGUAGCAGGCCAGAUUGCCGCUCUGCUGCCGGAUUUCGCACUCCAGCAGACUGCUACAGUGAUAGGGUGGGUGCUGUUUACAGAGGAUGGCUGUAGGCUCGAAAGGAGAAGAAGAGUAAUAUAAGGUGGCUUAUGACUGAGGUGCCAGUGACAUACUGGCAUGUUUUGCAGCAAUCAUUUGACAAGUGCAGAUAGCCAAGAUCAUUGAUGAGUACCACUAUAUCACAUUGAUGGAAAGCCCAUGACCUCUAAUUUUCUUAAUUAAGGAGAUCUAUCAAAUGUUUCUUGAUCAUUAACAAAGUCAGAUGUAGUAAAAGCCGAAUGUUCAUCCGGACCACUAGAAUGGCAACCAGCUGGCUGCUUCCUUCUUGUGCUACAAGCUUACAACAAUGACCUGUAUUGAAGUGCACAUUGCACCAAGGAUUCGAUUGGGUUUAGGCUACUUCACUAGCAAGUUUUCCUCAGUAUCAUGUUUGCUUGGUUUUGCCUUUACAUUUGUGCUCCAGUCGAGAUGAAGCUACGAGUGCAGGCAAUACUGUAUCAUCAUUCAGACUAAAGCCUCUGAAGACUAGUGAAGUGUUUUUUUCAUGUAGCAAGCAUGUGUGUAUGAUUUGUACUUUGGAGAUGGAGACAAAUUGGCUGCAAGCAUGCUGAAGAUGUCAGGGUCAAAUCAGCUGCGGUCAAUUAAUCUUAACCCCUACAGAAUGAGAUGCACAUACCCAUACAUGCAUCCAUUGUGCAUUAAACCAGCCGGUUCACGCAUACAUGCAU